CCAGAUAAUUAUUCUCUUUGAGGCAAGAAAAGUAAAUGAGUGCAAUUUUUGUCUCUAUCAUUUCAAUACUUUAUAUUCUUGUGAUAGGCCAACAAAAUGGACGAUACAUUGGAGAAAGAGAAUCCGCCAUCUGAAGUAAACGUUUCUAAUGAAGCUGGAAUUCGGCUACGGUUGAGAGACAGAGACCUGCUGAAGAAACGAAAGGCUGAGGCAGAGGAAAAGGCAACCAACCAGUGGGUGUCUGGGUAAAGAUAACAUUGAUAUGGGAACAAAGCCUUAAAAGAGCAAAAAAGUGGUCCAGUGCCAGUGGUACCCCUGGAAGAAAAGGUCGUCCAAGAAAACAGCCUCCGGUAGUUGUGUCAGAAGAUUUUAGUGUGGUUCAGGAAACAGAUCCUCCCUCCAUCACACCACCUGUAUUACCCACAGAAGCUGAAACAGCAACUCCACAACCAGCACCAGUGUCUGUGGAAACAAUAAAGGAAAAAACACUCAAGACGUUUUUCAUUGAGGAUUUAGGACCUGAUGAGGAGGAAGACAUGCCUUUAUCUCAAAAAAGGCUUGUCAUUGAUUCAGAUAUAGGUGAACCGCGUACUGAUGUGCCUGAACAGAUUCAAAUCUCAGUGCCAGCGUUCGCUCCAGCUACUGCUCCGUCCUAUCCAGAAAGCCUACCUGAGAAUGUACCUGAGCCCCUUAUUUGAGUACCUGCUCUGUACAAUGCAAAAAAGCAACUAACAUGUUAGCCAAAAUAUUUUUAUUGGAACUCUAGAACAACAACAUACAGUAUAUUUAUUCAAAUUGUUCAUGUUUUUUUUGUGUAUGCUACUCAUCAAACACAAGUUUAAACAUAAAACACAAAUUAAAAAAAUUGAUUUUACAGUAUAUCACUGUUGCCCCUCUCUGAGGUUAAAACUUUUAAGGCUCUGUGACAAAUAAUCUGUUCAUAUGUAACUGACUAUUUGAAAUAAAACAACUUCUAUACAUUGUCUUUGUAUCUUUGUUCCUUACAUUGUCUUCUAAUAACAUCUUCUCAAUUUAAAUUGCUGUGUUUAGGGAGAAUAAAAACACAAAAGGUUGUUUUGGCAAGUUCAG